GUCAUUUUUGCAAGGUUUUCAUUUUCCGUUGUAAACAACGGUUUGUUUAUUGACUAGAAUCAGUCAGGUGAAGGAAGGGAGUGAACCCAAAGGUCCUCUGGUUCAGAACAGAAAGAAUCCAUGGCGGUUUACCAAAAACGACCGCGUGCUUAUGAGUUUUGAGUGAAGAGAGCAAAGAAAAUUACCCUUAUACUUUUAAUGGUGGGAAAUGUGGGCAGGUGAGAGAAAGCUUUGAUUUUGGUUAUUGAUCCGAGUAAAGUUUGUGCAUUUGGUGAAAGCUGGUUCAUUUCAAAAUCCGACAUCAAAUCCCUAAAACAAAAUUCAAUGUCAAAACCCUCGUCUCGAAUCAUCCAAGGUCUGCUCAGAUUUCACCACAAUCAAAUCUCAAAACCCUCGUCCCCACUCACCGGCUCCAGGAGGACCUACCACUCCAACAAUGGGCCUCUUCCCCAAUUCCCCUCUCACCCAAAACCAGUCGGCGGCGGCGGCGGUGGCGGCCGCUCCGGGCGGGGGCUGGGCCUAGGCCUUGGCCUGAGGUUCUCCUUCAAGCCACCGAAUUUCAGCAAAGUCAAUGCGAAGAAGGUGUUCGAUAAGCCGCUCUCCGCCGCCACCUCGGCUUUCUCGCGCUACCAGGAGGCCAUAGGGUUGCAGAUUGAGGCGUUCUGGAAGAGGAACAAUCUGGUGCUCUUGGGCGUUGGAGCACUGGUGGUGUGUGCUUUGCUAUGGAGGGUCAUGUUUGGGAUUGCUAGCACCUUCGUUGGACUCUCUGAAUGUAUGGCCAAGUAUGGCUUUCUUGCCCUUUCUUCUGCCAUUGUCGCCUUCGCUGGCCUUCAUAUCCGCUCAAGAUUCACAAUCAAUCCUGAUAAAGUUUAUAGAAUUGCCAUGAGGAGGCUUAACUUCUGCUGGGAUUCUUGAGGUUAUGGGUGCCCCUCUCUCAGGAUCAGACCUAAGAGCCUAUUUCAUGUCCGGAGGUGGGGUUACACUAAAGAAGUUCAAGCCAACUUUUAGGAGCAAGAGGUGUUUCCUCAUUUUCCCAGUGCGAGGUUCUGAGAGAAAGGGUCUGGUCAGUGUCGAAGUAAAGAAGAAAAAAGGCCUGGUUUGUGUUUGUACACUCAUCAGACAUCGCGAGAAGCUGAAGGGCCCAUUAAAACCAGAGGGCAAUAUUUGUACCCAAUUUUGGUAAACAUACCAAAAAUGGUUUGCUCCUCAAAAGAAUAUUUUCAUAAGCCCAAGUCCACCACCCUUUUUGUUUCUAUUUGGGAAAAAGAUUUGCCUACGCUUAAAAGGCCAUCAAGAUAGAAAGAAAUUGAUCAAAGCCCACACCUUCAAUAGAGCCCAAAAGUCUGAGUCUCACGGUUACAAAAUUGCCCCACGUGAGAGACUGAAGAGGGUUAUCACCAUUAAUGCCGACUUGACUCUCCUCGUGCCUAGCAAAGAAGCAAGCUGUACGAUAGCCACCAUAACCAGAAAGAACCAAAUUGCCAACCAGACUUCCGAGUUCAGAACAGGGGAUGAUCACAAGAAACCAACGGUCUUGUCAGAAACAUCCCAUCAUCCGUCUAUCUUAGGCUAACUUACCUUACUACCAAGCAUAUGAAUGAU